rnacentral:rRNA from 1 species
CUGGCGGCGUGCUUAACACAUGCAAGUCGAGCGAUGAAGUCCCUCGGGACGGAUUAGCGGCGGACGGGUGAGUAACACGUGGGUAGCCUGCCUCAUAGAGGGGAAUAGCCUUCCGAAAGGAAGAUUAAUACCGCAUAAGAUUGUACGUUUCGCAUGAAACAGCAAUUAAAGGAGUAAUCCGCUAUGAGAUGGACCCGCGUCGCAUUAGCUAGUUGGUGAGGUAACGGCUCACCAAGGCGACGAUGCGUAGCCGACCUGAGAGGGUGAUCGGCCACAUUGGGACUGAGACACGGCCCAGACUCCUACGGGAGGCAGCAGUGGGGAAUAUUGCACGAAUGGGGGAAACCCUGAUGCAGCAACGCCCGCGUGAGUGAUGACGGUCUUCGGAUUGUAAAGCUCUGUCUUCAGGGACGAUAAUGACGGUACCUGAGGAGGAAGCCACGGCUAACUACGUGCCAGCAGCUGC